rnacentral:lncRNA from 7 species
GACUAUCUAAACAAAUAUGCUUGUUUUGAUUGAAUCCUAUACAAUUACAGUCCACAUAACAGGUGAGCUGAUCAAAGGCUAGAAGGAGGAGCUCUAUGGCCAGUGUCCACCACCGCCAGAACCAUCUCAUAUUUGGCUUCUUCAAUUUGAUGGUCUACUGAUGAGCUCCGUGGCAUGGGAUGGAUGUGUUUCGUUGGUGGGUAGACGGGAGCGGGGCAGCGGAACGAGGGGAGACAUCGCAGGUGCGGGGUGUCAGAGCGGCGGGGAGCAUCUAAUGCUGCUGACAGCUCAUCCCCAAAAGCGCCUCUUCACUCACCUCCACACACUCCCUGCACACACUUCCUGACUACCACCUCAGCUGAUGCUCCUUUUCUUUCUCCCUCCCUCAGAGUCGUUCCAACAGAUACAUAGAGAGGCAAGACAAGGCCGCAUGCAUGCUACUCCUGUCAUCUCCAUUUCCAAGGAUCAUCAUGGAUUAAUCACAGAACGAUGCUCUUGU